rnacentral:pre_miRNA from 1 species
UGUUAAAAAUUCCAAUCAUUUUUACUGUUUAAAAUUGUUGUGAAUGACAGAAUAAUAAAAAAAAUUAUACAUGGCAUGUCUCGUGUACCUCAUAUGGCCUACAGUGACUAGUUUUCAAUAGUUGAAUUGGAUGAACUUUUUAAUA